rnacentral:rRNA from 1 species
UACGUAGGGUGCAAGCGUUGUCCGGAAUUAUUGGGCGUAAAGAGCUCGUAGGCGGUUCGUCGCGUCGGCUGUGAAAUCCCGAGGCUCAACCUCGGGUCUGCAGUCGAUACGGGCGGACUGGAGUUCGGCAGAGGAGACUGGAAUUCCUGGUGUAGCGGUGAAAUGCGCAGAUAUCAGGAGGAACACCGGUGGCGAAGGCGGGUCUCUGGGCCGAUAUCGACGCUGAGGAGCGAAAGCGUGGGGAGCGAACAGG